AGAACCAAAGCCAUUAAAAGAGACAUGGGGCAAAAAGAUUUGAGAUCACUGCCUGGACAUCCCGAGUCUCACAAUCCACCAGCUGCUAUGACACAGUGGAGCAUCAGCUCUGCUUUCUGUUCAUUUCCUUUUGCUUCUAUAAAGGUGAGAUGACAAUGAAAAUAAGGCCCAGUGUACAGCAAAAGGGAUGUAGCAAGACAGAAGUGACUGUGACUCAGAUGUUAUCAAAGACAAGAUGAAGCCUGCCUGAGAACCCUCCUCUUAAACAGCAGGAGCCCA
rnacentral:lncRNA from 1 species